AAGGGUAAAGUGGUAUAUCCUUUAUUUAUCAGCAUUGGUUCAUUGAAAAUGUAGCUAACAUCACAUCUGAAAAUCUAGAAACUUUCCAGAGGACUCAGAGAAAACUCAUGCUAAACAAGGUCAGAGGACUGUUAAGAACAUCCAGUACCACGCAUGAAAGGUGAACAGGGAGGACUCGAGUCCCAGGCAAGCCCAAGAGUCCUGCAAGGUGCUCAAGGCCAUCGCUUUGGCUGACAGUUUCAAAGGCUGGUGAUAAAUGAAACAGAGGUAAUGAAAGGACACUGUUCUUGGGCUGAACUGUUCUUCAGCCUAAAACCCUCAGAAACAGGUAAGAUGGCCCACAUCACGGUUAAGUGAUGAGCUCAGGACUGUUUUCAUUUAAGAUAAUCAGUUUGAAACUGGCUGAUGUUGGUAGUGACUGAGUACUGAUACUUCUGACAGCUCCAAGUUUUUCCAGAUUGGCUCACAGUCCAUUUUGUCCAUCAGUACAGAUGCAUUUCUCACAAGUUACCAGAGCAAAAUUCAUUAAGCAACAUUCUGCCAGCAGUUGCACGUAAGUGGCCAAGAGCAGAAGCUACAUAUUAUCUGAAUAACUUACUCCCGUAUGCCGUACAUGUGAAAUAUUUUUCAGCACAACUUUCAUUCACAACUUUCAUUCACAACUACCAUUCUACUGUGGCAGAAGGCAGCACAACGGGAUCACCAUUUCCAAAAUACGUGUCAGUGAACCUUGUCUGUUAUGAGCAGGAGGGCUGACAUACCAGUCUGUGUACAUUACAGUGAAAUGGUGUUUGUUGAGAUAGUAGCAGAGAUAGAAGCUCUAUGAACAUUUGAGGGAUUCUAAAAAAAUGUCAUUGUCAUUAAUAGAAUGACAAUAAAAAUCUCAGUGUCUGCAUGAACAGAUUAUCUAGCCAGAUAAGAAGUAUUCUUUAGGUAAAACUUGCAUUUUAGUUAGAUAUAUUUUUCUCUUUUAAACUUGUAUUUAAUCUAAAUUAACUAAAAAAAAAAGGAAAAAUGUUUUUAACUAAAAACCCUAAAAAUUCCUUAAUUAAAAACUGAGAGGUAUUUUGACUAUUGAAAAAAAUCUAACAAUUCCCUAUGUUGGGAGAUUUAUCAAAAUUGAUUCUGGACAUUAAUUUCUGAUUUCAAUUAGUAGUAAUUUAAGGCAUAAAAAAAUCAACUGUCUGUCAAACUAUUCCCAGCUCAGUAUAGAUAUCAGCAUAUAUAUAUGAACAUUUUGUUGUCCUUCCAAAUUACAGUUGAAGUAUAUCUGCAAGCUAUUGCAAAUGACUAUAAUAAUAACAGAAUGAAGUACAGAUGAUUUGUUUCAAGGCAAACAUGCUGCAGAUUUAGGAGUCCUAUACCCUAAAGGAGCCCUAGGUUUAGUUUUCAGAACACAGCAUUCUAAAAACUAGUGACUUCAUUAGACCAAUAACCACUUUUUUUUUUUUCCCAGAAUAUAACUAUAUAGUUUGCCAGUAGCAUUCUUUCUUGCAGAGCCCCAGGACCUACACAGCCACAGCAAUACUCCCACUCUCAGCAUACUGGAGGGGCAGCCACAUUUCCUUCAUGUCUGUGGUGAAAGGUAUCUUACAAUAUCAUCGCUGUGGUCCAAAAAAGCCCAGGAGUUGCUCUGAUACACCGAGUUUGAGUCUUUUGCCUGUAAAAGAGCACUGCUGCGCUUUAAGACACAGAUGUUGACAAUAUCCUGAAACUUGAAUUGCCUAAAUCAAAGCCAGACUGCUGAUAAAGCUAGCACAGAACCAGCAAAAGCGAAUUGAGUAUUAGGGGAAAUUUGAGAGGCUGAUAUUUCUGCAUCUAGAUUCCAUUCAGCUCUGAAGCCUAAAAAGAGUCAUCAAAAUUCCCAGGGCUAAGAUCAAAGAAAUCCUAUUGAUACAUAUCCCAUGGAUUUGAAAGCAGAAGCUACUACCCAGAUAACAGGGUCUUUGCCUCCAGGACAGCUAAGCAUUCCAAGCCAUUCACUCAUUGCUUCACCUGCAAUGGCUUCCAUUUCAGCACACAGAACAUCUGACACGUAAAGAAGCAACUAUCCAGGAAGAAUAAAUGUCAGCUGGUCAUGUUCCUACUACCCUAACAGACUGAGAAAGGAAUUGCACAGAAACGCACCAGAUAGAAGAACCCAAGAACGCUUCAGACGAGGAGGCUGGCAAGGACAGUAAACUUAGGCCACCAAGUGAAUCAAAAGAGGAAAACACAGGUAAAGUGGUAAAAGCAUGUGUUCUUUCCUAAACUAAGCUCAGUGACUAAGGCAAGGAAUAUAUUGUAAAUGGGGUAAAACACAACAGUCCUUUCAGUAGCAGAAUGGAGAAUGAUACAAAUGUGCUUCCUGUGGACCCAAAAUCCAUUGAAAGUGUCACUAAAACAGACAAACAAACAAAAAAUACCCACAAACCAACAAACAAACCUGUAUGGAAAGGCUGAAAAGGUACAAAUGUAGGAUUCUCCCAGUAAUGUCUGCUGUCUUGCAUUUGUGACAUUCUCAUAUCCUUGAUGUGAAUAAGCAUGAAAACAAAAGAAAAAAAAAAAGAAAUAUAUAGCCCUGGAAACAUCAAUUAUAUAACCACAUGUACAGCUGACAAAAAAAAAAAAAAAAACCACCCUUGACAGAAACAGACAUUUUCCAAUGAAAAUCUUCAGUUUAUACCAAAGCCAUUUUUAUCAUCAAUAACAACAAAAUUUCAACAAGAUGUUGUGAACAGCUCAUUUUGUCUUAGUUAAUCUUCACCUUUUCACACACCCAGGAACAGCCAGGAAUGCAUGGCAAUGAGAACUGAAGUUACAAUGUUACCAUCUGUGCCAGAAAAAAUUUUGGGGGAAUGUAUUACCAGAAAUGCAAUAGGUGUAAAUUACUUGCAAGCUUAUAAUUUGUCUGUAAUAUUUCAUAAUUUUAAGAUUAAAAGCAUGUACCUAAAAAAAAAACAAACUAUGCAUGUACUGCCUAAAUGGCACAUACGCACAUAAAUAGUUCUUGCUUCUCCUGUCUUACUCAUCCUGUUAAUACUUUUGAAGUUAGAAAAUAUACAAAGAGUAACAAUGCAAUAAAACUAAGCAUUGUAUUUACAAAAGAAUAGCAUGUCUAUAGUUUUUGCAAAUCAAUGACUUUCUUAUAAGGAAAAGUGUCUUUUUCCUACAUAAUGUGUCUUUUUAUCUCAAAAGAGAUACUCAUUACUUCUAUGGCAUAAAUGACUUGAAAACACAACUAGAUCCCUGGACUACAAUUUUAAGGUCACUGGCAUAAAACAUUUCUUCCAUCUUCCUAACAGUAAUUUUCUGAAAGCUAUUACUAAAAUGAGAACAAUUAUAUACAGUUUUAAAGCAUUGUAUGUAAGAAAACUGCUUAUCAGUGUCUAGAGACUGUCUUACAUAAAAUUCGUGGAUCCCCAUGUUGCCUCUGAAUGAUGGGUUUCACCUUUGGAUCUUUGAUUUAGCUGACAGAUGUGCAUAAUCUCAAACCAUUGGUUAGCUCCCUUGUAGCUAAACAGCUCUUCAGAUACAUGUGCCAAAACUAUUCCAGCUGAGGGAGCAAAUCCAGUUCACUAAAUCCAGAUCUGGAUGUUUCAAGUAGCGGCUUAGUGAGGAUGAAAACUCUUCCUCAAGCCCAACUUUAUUGCUCUUGCUUGAUCCAGAAUUCAGUUCUCUUUUGUUCCCGGGGUCACCAAUGUCACAAAUGUUUGAGUUCAGGCUUACAAUUCUGAGGGCUUUGUUUAUCAGAAUCAAAAACAGAGUUUAGCCCAUAAUAUUUACCUUUUAUUCUUGGAAGAACUGUUAGGCUAGAUAAAUAACAAUUUUGAAGUAAUAUAAUCAAUGAAGUACAACAGAGUAAAUGAUGCAAAGCAACGAUUAUGUGGAAGAGCCACACAGUGAGAAAUGACAAGGUACUUUGUUCUAUGACAAUCAGAUUAUAAUAACUCUGAUGAUUGUAAAGGUUUAUUUUGUUCCUUGCUCAGGUUCACAUUUCAGAAACAUAAACUCACAUAGAAGACUGUUUGUGCAUGAAAGAAAAUUUUGUACAUGAUUAUGCUCACAUCAAAAAAUAAUUAACAUCAAGCACUCCCCUUGUCAGAUAUUGAAGUGCUGCUUAAAAUUAGUACUCAGAAACAGAGAAAAAGCUUCUUUUUUUGAGGCAAUGAAUUUUACAUUAAAUCUAAGAAAACUAAUGAUUAUAAAUAAGCAGAAGUUCAGUUAUUACACAAAGGCUUGAUCUCCACUAUUGAGGACUGAAUUAAUAUUCAGAGCAACAGUUUAAGUCUCUCAAUAGGUGACUAGGCUUAUGCUCAAACUUCUUUUGGUUUUGGUAAAGACUUCUAGUGCUGGCAUGCAACAAGCAUGAUCCAAACAUGGUACAGAUGCAUGGAACGAAACGCAUUCAGUUCAUCAGCUCCUUUGCCCCACAGACAGAAGACCCUUCCCAGUGGUAGGCGCAACCACUUGCUUCUGGGGCAGCAGCCGUAGCACAGGUUUUGGUUGAGGGCAUCAGUGUGUGGCCUGGCCCCACUCCACUCUCCCCUUGCAGACACAGCCUGGCUUCCUCCCACUGGAAACCACUCUUCCUGAGCUGGUAUGUGCCUGCAAAGACUGUGAUUCCCAGGAAUGAUACCAUGUUUGCCACCUUCAGAUUCAGUUGCAACAUCCGUCUUCUUGCAGUUUAGUUCCCCAGAAUCAUGGCACAGUGAUCUUACAGAUAUGUGUAUGAUCUAGUUUCGGGAGUGCGCGGGUAGCCCAAAGGUCUCUGCGGCGCUCCUUUCCUUUGCGGAAUACUAUCUUGCAUCCGAGGCAGUUCCCAGUCUAUAUUUGAUGUUACCAUUUAUGCUAUCUCAAACACGAGGCUCUCCCAUAGACAUUUUUUCCAGGGUUUUCAAGCAAAUUUCUCUGUGCCACAAUGUUAUGAUGGAAGGAUGCUGAAAUGACAGGCCUCGUAGACGCUUGUCUUAAUCAUCGGCUUCUUAAUUUAGUUUUAGUGCUGUGGUUUUGUGUGUGUGUGCGUGUGUGUCUGCGCGUGUGUGC
ensembl:lncRNA